rnacentral:rRNA from 1 species
UACGUAGGUGGCAAGCGUUGUCCGGAUUUACUGGGCGUAAAGGGCGUGCAGGCGGUCUGUUAAGUGCAGGGUGAAAGCUCCCGGCUCAACUGGGAGAGGUCCUUGCAUACUGGCGGACUUGAGGGGGGUAGAGGAAAGUGGAAUUCCCGGUGUAGUGGUGAUAUGCGUAGAUAUCGGGAGGAACACCUGUGGCGAAGGCGGGUAGCUGGGCCGACACUGACGCUGAGGCGCGAAAGCCAGGGGAGCGAACGGG